rnacentral:rRNA from 1 species
UACGUAGGUGGCGAGCGUUGUCCGGAAUUACUGGGCGUAAAGGAUGCGUAGGCGGAUAUUUAAGUCAGAUGUGAAACCCCCAGGCUUAACUUGGGGACUGCAUUUGAAACUGGAUAUCUAGAGUGCAGGAGAGGUAAGUGGAAUUCCUAGUGUAGCGGUGAAAUGCGUAGAGAUUAGGAAGAACACCAGUGGCGAAGGCGGCUUACUGGACUGUAACUGACGCUGAGGCAUGAAAGCGUGGGUAGCAAACAGGAUUAGAUACCCUGGUAGUCCACGCUGUAAACGAUGAAUACUAGGUGUGGGAGGUAUCGACUCCUUCCGUGCCGCCGCUAACGCAAUAAGUAUUCCGCCUGGGGAGUACGAUCGCAAGAUUAAA